GCAACGGCGGCUACCAUGCAAGUCGAGGGGUAGAAGGAGCUUGCUCCUUUGAGACCGGCGCACGGGUGCGUAACGCGUAUGCAAUCUACCUUGUACAGGGGAAUAGCCCAGAGAAAUUUGGAUUAAUGCCCCAUGGUAUAUUUGAAUGGCAUCAUUUAAAUAUUAAAGAUUUAUCGGUACAAGAUGAGCAUGCGUCCCAUUAGUUAGUUGGUAAGGUAACGGCUUACCAAGACGAUGAUGGGUAGGGGUCCUGAGAGGGAGAUCCCCCACACUGGUACUGAGACACGGACCAGGCUCCUACGGGAGGCAGCAGUGAGGAAUAUUGGGCAAUGGAGGCAACUCUGACCCAGCCAUGCCGCGUGCAGGAAGACGGUCCUAUGGAUUGUAAACUGCUUUUAUACGGGAAGAAACACCCCCUCGUGAGGGGACUUGACGGUACCGUAAGAAUAAGGAUCGGCUAACUCCGUGCCAGCAGCCGCGGUAAUACGGAGGAUCCAAGCGUUAUCCGGAAUCAUUGGGUUUAAAGGGUCUGUAGGCGGCCUUAUAAGUCAGUGGUGAAAUCUCCUAGCUCAACUAGGAAACUGCCAUUGAUACUGUAGGGCUUGAAUUAUUGUGAAGUAACUAGAAUAUGUAGUGUAGCGGUGAAAUGCUUAGAUAUUACAUGGAAUACCAAUUGCGAAGGCAGGUUACUAAUAGUGGAUUGACGCUGAUGGACGAAAGCGUGGGUAGCGAACAGGAUUAGAUACCCUGGUAGUCCACGCCGUAAACGAUGGAUACUAGCUGUUGGGAGCAAUCUCAGUGGCUAAGCGAAAGUGAUAAGUAUCCCACCUGGGGAGUACGAACGCAAGUUUGAAACUCAAAGGAAUUGACGGGGGCCCGCACAAGCGGUGGAGCAUGGGGUUUAAUUCGAUGAUACGCGAGGAACCUUACCAAGGCUUAAAUGUAGAUUGACAGAUUUGGAAAAAGAUUUUUCUUCGGACAAUUUACAAGGGGCUGCAUGGUUUUCGUCAGCCCGUGCCGUGAGGGGUCAGGUUAAGUCCUAUAACGAGCGCAACCCCUGUUGUUAGUUGCCAGCGAGUCUUGUCGGGAA
rnacentral:rRNA from 1 species